AUCUCAUCAGAUCAGACGUGUUGGACAUCGGCCCAGUUGCAGAUAAGAACACGCCCACAUGUCGGAGCUGUGUCGGGAAAGACUGCCAGAACAACAUCCUAGAAAACAUCAUCAGAGACAAGAAGCUGACCUCUGGAUAUUUUGGCCUUGUACCUUUUUUUUCCACCAAACCAAAAGGGAAGUGCAGCCAUGGGGGCUCAUUGGACCAGACAAGCGGGCGGGAGCCUACGGGUGGGAUCAACAAAGACUCGCUUGAGUCCAACCAUGGCAACUUGCACACUGCAGCUGCAGAGGUGGCCGUGGUUGCAACCAGGCAGCUGCUGGAGGACAUCAGAGGGGCUGCCGGG